rnacentral:rRNA from 1 species
GUGACCUCAAAUCAGGUAGGACUACCCGCUGAACUUAAGCAUAUCAAUAAGCGGAGGAAAAGAAACUAACAAGGAUUCCCCUAGUAACUGCGAGUGAAGCGGGAAAAGCUCAAAUUUAAAAUCUGGCGGUCUUUUGGCUGUCCGAGUUGUAAUCUAGAGAAGUGUUAUCCGCGCUGGACCGUGUACAAGUCUCCUGGAAUGGAGCAUCAUAGAGGGUGAGAAUCCCGUCUUUGACAUGGACUGCCAGGGCUUUGUGAUGCGCUCUCAAAGAGUCGAGUUGUUUGGGAAUGCAGCUCAAAAUGGGUGGUAAAUUCCAUCUAAAGCUAAAUAUUGGCGAGAGACCGAUAGCGAACAAGUACCGUGAGGGAAAGAUGAAAAGAACUUUGGAAAGAGAGUUAAACAGUACGUGAAAUUGCUGAAAGGGAAACGCUUGAAGUCAGUCACGUUGUCCAGGGAUCAACCUUGCUUUUGCUUGGUGCACUUUCUGGUUCGACGGGUCAGCAUCAAUUUCGAUCGUUGGAAAAAGGCCAAGGGAAUGUGGCAUCUUUGGAUGUGUUAUAGCCCUUUAUCACAUACAAUGGUUGGGAUUGAGGAACUCAGCACGCCGCAAGGCCGGGUUUUAAACCACGUACGUGCUUAGGAUGC